AUUGAACGCUGGCGGCAGGCCUAACACAUGCAAGUCGAACGGCAGCACAGAAGAGCUUGCUCUUUGGGUGGCGAGUGGCGGACGGGUGAGUAAUGUCUGGGAAACUGCCCGAUGGAGGGGGAUAACUACUGGAAACGGUAGCUAAUACCGCAUAACGUCGCAAGACCAAAGUGGGGGACCUUCGGGCCUCACACCAUCGGAUGUGCCCAGAUGGGAUUAGCUAGUAGGUGGGGUAAUGGCUCACCUAGGUGACGAUCCCUAGCUGGUCUGAGAGGAUGAACAGCCACACUGGAACUGAGACACGGUCCAGACUCCUACGGGAGGCAGCAGUGGGGAAUAUUGCACAAUGGGCGCAAGCCUGAUGCAGCCAUGCCGCGUGUAUGAAGAAGGCCUUCGGGUUGUAAAGUACUUUCAGCGGGGAGGAAGGCGGUGAGGUUAAUAACCUUGCCGACUGACGUUACCCGCAGAAGAAGCACCGGCUAACUCCGUGCCAGCAGCCGCCGUAA
rnacentral:rRNA from 1 species